AUCAUGCCGGAGUGUCACAACUGCACUAAAGACAAAUAGCCCUGGAGGCUAUUGCCACUGUGACGCUUUUGAGUUAUGAAGAAGGGUAACAGCCCGAUGGGAGGCUCUUUGCGUCCUCAUUAUAGCCAGGGGUUACUAGUGCAGGGCACCGGAGAAGCCAGGCCAGUGUGCUGCUCGGGUAUUAAUCUGUCCCUUUCAGACCUAACAGCUGUAGCGAAACCGAAGGGGACUUGGCCUCCCUUUUAGAGACCCAGGCAAACAAAGGGGAGGGGA
rnacentral:lncRNA from 1 species